AGUGAACGCUGGCGGCAGGCCUAAUACAUGCAAGUCGAACGGCAGCACAGCAGAGCUUGCUCUGUGGGUGGCGAGUGGCGGACGGGUGAGGAAUACAUGGGAAUCUGCCCAGUCGUGGGGGAUAACGUAUGGAAACGUACGCUAAUACCGCAUGCGCCCUUUGGGGGAAAGCCGGGGACCUUCGGGCCUGGCGCGAUUGGAUGAGCCCAUGUUCGAUUAGCUAGUUGGCGGGGUAAAGGCCCACCAAGGCGACGAUCGAUAGCUGGUCUGAGAGGAUGAUCAGCCACACUGGGACUGAGACACGGCCCAGACUCCUACGGGAGGCAGCAGUAGGGAAUAUUGGACAAUGGGCGCAAGCCUGAUCCAGCCAUGCCGCGUGAGUGAAGAAGGCCCUCGGGUUGUAAAGCUCUUUUGUCCGGAAAGAAAAGCAUUCGGUUAAUACCCGGGUGUUCUGACGGUACCGGAAGAAUAAGCACCGGCUAACUUCGAG
rnacentral:rRNA from 1 species